UUGAAACAACAAUUGGACACAUUACUAAUCCAUCCAACAGUACUGUAUAAUUGAAUAACAACACAUCCUAGCAACAUCCCACCUCGAAAAUUAGGAAUCAGAAUCUACAGCUUUUGUCGAUUCUAUUAAGUUGAGAUAAGGUUUUGAAUAUUGUUGUUGUAAUCUAUAGCCUAAUGGGAGAGAUUCUUUUGCUUCCAUAAUCAAACACCCACCAUUCGCCGCCUUCCUGAUGUGUGAAGUAGAUGCAGUUCCUUGGACACUCAUCAAAACCAAACUGACUUGCAGAGAACCGUCUUUCUUGUUUAGGUGAAAGCCUAGGUGGAGGGAACACCCAGCAACAUUGUUGUUCCAUCAUCAAUGUCCGAUCUCCAAGGCUUUCAAUCUUGAUCCACCCUUUCUUGCUGGUAAGAUCAAGCCUGAACACUUCCACAUCAUCAACUACAUUCAUUGAUCUCCUAGAAACAAGAAAAACUAGCAGCAUCUCCCCGUCAGAUUCCCCUAGUUAUUCUCUAAAACCCUUUAACAGUUUGCAGAAACAGAAGGAAUGGCUCUUUUCAAACCAGGUAUUAUUGACAUUUUGGCUCUUAAAUUCUGUUUAGGAUCCUUGACAACAUCGAUUAUUGCGAGCUUGCCCUGAAAACUCAAUGCAUAGAUCUUUCCUCCGAAUCUUAUGGCUUUCGUAAAUUUAAAACUUUCAACAGAAGAUCCCAACUCUCAGCUUCUACUGUUUCACAAGUAACGCAAGAGGGGCUUCAACAGAAACAAAGCAUGGCAACCAGAGGAAAAACUACUCAGCAGGCGCUCGUAGCACCGAAAAGUCCAGAUGCUGGUCGCCUAUAAAGUUCUUUGAUCUCCCUCCUUGCUAACCUCUUCCCAAAUACGUAGAUCUCAGGGAUGGAAGAAAUGCAUCUCAUUCUUGUUGACGGCAACGGGAUUGUGUUUUAGGAAAAACAUCAGAGAACGAACAACGGUUUGAGAGAGGAAAUAAUGGAAAUAGGGUUUGCGAUGUCAUUAUCUCACAAUCGGAUCUAGAGAACCGAAUCAGGGUAGAGAAGAACAAAUAAAAAUAGAAAGACGGCCAAAGAGAUAAUCGGGGACUUCGGAAACGAUAGGGAACCUUCAGAGCGGCAACGCUCCAAGGAAGGCAUGGCGGAAACUUUGCUUGCUGGCGCUAGAGCCGCCGUCGAAGCAAUGGACUGGGAAGAGCCAAAACGAGCAAUUGUCAUGAAGUAUUUGAAACUCUGUGUUUUUCAUGUACAUUGCAUUUCCUACACUCUCAAUAAUCCUAGACUUUUCAUUUCGAAAACUCCACGUUUUAAGUUGUGAUACUGAGCUACACAAGAUGUAGCGCAAUGGUGCGCUAUAGACGAUCCAGAUCCCAUAUGGGAUUCGGUUCCUAUCAAUGAGUAUUUAUUUGGGUUAA